UGUAAUAGAGCUCCCUCAUUCUGUAUGCCA
rnacentral:piRNA from 1 species